rnacentral:rRNA from 1 species
UACGUAGGGUGCGAGCGUUAAUCGGAAUUACUGGGCGUAAAGCGUGCGCAGGCGGCUUUGCAAGACAGAUGUGAAAUCCCCGGGCUCAACCUGGGAACUGCAUUUGUGACUGCAAGGCUAGAGUACGGCAGAGGGGGAUGGAAUUCCGCGUGUAGCAGUGAAAUGCGUAGAUAUGCGGAGGAACACCAAUGGCGAAGGCAAGCCCCUGGGCCUGUACUGACGCUCAUGCACGAAAGCGUGGGGAGCAAACAGG